rnacentral:lncRNA from 1 species
UGUCACGACUUCCACCGAAGGUGGCUCCUCUCCCUGUUUGGGCGGUGCUCGGCGGUUGUCGUCACCGGCCUACUAGCUGCCACCAAUCCAUUUUCCUUUUCGUUUGUGUCUGUCUGUUUUGUUUACACCUGUGUCCUAUUAGUUGAUUUCGGUGGGUUUAUUAACCUCCGCUGCCUGCUUGUCUUUGUGCUGGAUUGUUUUGCUGUGGUUACUUUGUUAGGGGUGCGUGUCUGCACCACAGGGUUUUCUUUCUCACGGCAAUUGUACCGGUUUGGUAUGUGUUUAGGAGUAGAGGUUUCUCCCCCGUGUGUAGCGUUUAUUUCCCUGUGUGUGGCGACCUCGUUUGGGCGUAUUCCCCCCCAUGUUGUUGAGUUGCGACUUCUGAAUAAACUAUUGUGCCACUGGGACUUUCUUGCUCUCCUGCUCCUGAUUCCUGCACCUCCCUCCUUCUCGUGGGCACGUAACAGGAGUUUGGGUGCUCCGUCUGUCUCGUGUGGCUGCAGCAGCUGAGGUGCACUGGUACUCUGCUCAGGAUGAUGAUGAUGAGGUGCUU